GACGAACGCUGGCGGCGUGCUUAACACAUGCAAGUCGAACGGAAAGGCCCUGCUUUUGUGGGGUGCUCGAGUGGCGAACGGGUGAGUAACACGUGAGUAACCUGCCCUUGACUUUGGGAUAACUUCAGGAAACUGGGGCUAAUACCGGAUAGGAGCUCCUGCUGCAUGGUGGGGGUUGGAAAGUUUCGGCGGUUGGGGAUGGACUCGCGGGUUAUCAGCUUGUUGGUGGGGUAGUGGCUUACCACGGCUUUGACGGGUAGCCGGCCUGAGAGGGUGACCGGCCACAUUGGGACUACGAUACGGCCCAGACUCCUACGGGCGGCAGCAGUGGGGAAUAUUGCACAAUGGGCGGAAGCCUGAUGCAGCAACGCCGCGUGCGGGAUGCCGGCCUUCGGGUUGUAAACCGCUUUCGCCUGUGACGAAGCGUGAGUGACGGUAAUGGGUAAAGAAGCACCGGCUAACUACGUG
rnacentral:rRNA from 1 species